UACAGAGGGGGCAAGCGUUAUUCGGAAUUAUUGGGCGUAAAGGGCGCGUAGGCGGCCUGGCAAGUGGAAGGUGAAAUCCCUCGGCUUAACCGAGGAACUGCCCUCCAAACUGCUUGGCUUGAGUCCGGGAGAGGUGAGUGGAAUUCCCAGUGUAGCGGUGAAAUGCGUAGAUAUUGGGAGGAACACCGGUGGCGAAGGCGGCCCCCUGGACCGGUACUGACGCUGAGGCGCGAAAGCGUGGGGAGCAAACGGG
rnacentral:rRNA from 1 species